rnacentral:lncRNA from 1 species
GGUUGGGUUCAUGGGCCAAACCCAAUAUUGCAUCCUUUUUUAUUGUUGGGCCGUGGCCUUUUUAAUCCAUCGAUUUUCUAGUUUCAGCCAUAUAUAUUGGAGCUGGGCCCACUAGUCAGACAAGCCCCACAUAUCAUAAUCUCAUACAUUGGUCCCACACAUCAGAUAUUUCAACAUUGCUCAGAUAUUUCAACAUUGUUCAAAUUACUUUGGUAAGUGGAUUCCACUAAUCAGGUUUCCAUUUCACACAUUUUUAAAUCACUAUUUCAAACAAAACAGAAGAAACGUAAUUUAUCAAAUAACCCUAAUUUUUUUACAAUGUUACAAUCUCUACAGCCUAUUACAGUCAAACAGAACAAACAAAUCUCUAGCAUCACGGCUUUGCACUUGGCUUCAUGGCUUUGCACUUCAAAUUUGUCCUGGCGCUCCUGUAAAAGAGUGAACACAAAGACUAACAGCAUUAGUGUACUGCUACUGAGGUCAGAACCAAACAAAUGCAAUGGCAACAGUAAUGCAAAGACUACCCACUAGUAUGUUCCAACUUCACCUUUCCCGUCCUGAAUUUCAAUACUAGAAAGGGCAAAUAAAACAACAUACUUACAUAGUGAAAUGUGUGCUUUUACAAAUCUUAUAGAAUAAUUUGUAUAAAUUAUGCAUUUAAUAUAGGCUUCAUGAAGAUGGGUAGAAAAAGAAGGUACUUCAACCACUUUGCACAACAAGAUCACAAGCAAGUCUAAGUAAACACAAGUUUAAUUUGCUGCAUAAUCAUUGACAAGUCACACAAAAUUUCAGUAAACUGUAGAUGCUCAAAAUUUCAAUAAACUUUGCAUAAAUAUUACUGCUGUUGGUUAGUAAUUGUUUCUUAAAAGUGAAAAAUAAAUAGAAUUUCAUGGCAAACUGCUUGUAGUUUACACUAUGCAAAAAAUGGCAUUCAACAUCCAAUUCAAAUUCAAUGAAGUUUUACUGAAUGUACAGUUUCACCAUAGACCAGUUUAUACAACCCCAAGGUCAGAAGUUUACCUUAAAUACAACCCCAAAUGAACUAGUUCCAACAGUGACCUACCAGCAUAAGAGUUGACAAUAAGAUUUCUCAUUUUGAAAUAUGCAAGAAACUAAGUUCAGUUUGCAAGGAAGCAAAUUCAGUUCAGUUUGCUUGCUUGCAACCAAACUAUACAAUUUUGCAAGCAAACAUACUGUACUAGUACUGAAAUAGGAACAAAUCGAGCAUCAGAUCCCACGCAGAUCAGGAAUACAGCAAUACAGUAUCAAAAAUAAACUACUAGAAUACAUAGAAAUUCCAUGCAGAUGAGUAAUUCCAUAAUACAGUUUCUUUUUUUGAAGAGUUGCAUAUCACUAUAAAAAUAGAUACAAUGUUUAAUUGCCCUAGGCAAGAACAGUAUAAUAAAGAACACAGAACAUACAAGGCAUGGAUCUAUCUAGCAAACCGUUUUAAGAACAAAUCACAUCAAGAAAUGGACAGUAAAGGCAAUCAUUUUAGAAGGCUUGGACUGCAUACACAAGUUGAUCAUGGAACUAACAGAAUUUAGCUUAUGCAGGGCAAACAUAAAUAACAGAGUUUAGCUUAUACACAAGUCAAUGUUGCUUCACUUAAACUGAGAAGCAAAAACUAGAGUACAAAAUAGUAACCAAAACAGUUACGUAUAUGGUAUAUCCCUAAGUAUUGUUAUAUGUUAAAAAACUGUCAAACAGGACCUGUUAGGCUAUUCCAUUGUUUUCCAAUUGGUUUCAACAAAGUGCUGUGAUGUAUGUGUCUUAAUAUAACUCCUAAGAAAUGUUCACAACCUGAAUUAACUACACUUUUUCUCAUUGAAGUGAACACAACAGCAGUUUAAUCAACAACCCCAUACUUAACUAUAGAAUGUUUCUUCUGAAUGCAUAGCUUAAAGGCGGGGCGGGGCUGAGAAUCAUCAUAACAGGAUAUGUAUAAAUAUAUGUAGAGAGAGAGAGAGAUCACCUUAACAAUAGAUGGUGGGCAUCCUCGCCGGAUCGGAGCAGCUUGUCCCUGGCCCUCCCCACGGGAUGGUACCAAACUGCACACACACCAAGCAAGAGAGCACGCAUCAGAUCAUAUGAGAAAAUGAACAAAAAAUAGAGAGGAGGAG